rnacentral:rRNA from 1 species
UAGGGGGCAAGCGUUAUCCGGAAUUAUUGGGCGUAAAGAGUGCGUAGGUGGUUACCUAAGCAGGGGGUGAAAGGCAAUGGCUCAACCAUUGUUAGCCCUCUGAACUGGGCUACUUGAGUGCAGGAGAGGAAAGCGGAAUUCCUAGUGUAGCGGUGAAAUGCGUAGAUAUUAGGAGGAACACCAGUGGCGAAGGCGGCUUUCUGGACUGAAACUGACACUGAGGCACGAAAGUGUGGGGAGCAAA